CACGUAGGGCGCAAGCGUUGUCCGGAAUUAUUGGGCGUAAAGAGCUCGUAGGCGGUCUGUUGCGUCCGCUGUGAAAUCUCGGGGCUUAACUCCGAAACUGCAUUCGAUACUGCCGUGCUUGAGGACUGGAGAGGAGACUGGAAUUUACGGUGUAGCGGUGAAAUGCGUAGAUAUCGUAAGGAAGACCAGUGGCGAAGGCGGGUCUCUGGACAGUUCCUGACGCUGAGGCACGAAGGCCAGGGGAGCAAACGGG
rnacentral:rRNA from 1 species